UUCUAUUGUCGUUUUGAUGUUCUCGUUUUCUUUAGGUUCUUGAAUUACAUCGGGCCUCGAAUCUAAAUCUGUUGUUUCAAUUGAAGUUUGGUUGCCAACACCUUCAACUUUUUCCAAUAAUUGCUAUUUCUCUUUACUUGCGGUGCUCGUAUAUGUUAUGGCGUUGAUACUCUUGGCUAUUUGUUGAUCCCCUCGAAUUUGACAUAUUCCCC
rnacentral:lncRNA from 1 species